rnacentral:rRNA from 1 species
GAUGAACGCUGGCGGCGUGCCUAAUACAUGCCAGUCGAGCGAACGGACGAGAAUCUUGCUUUUCUGAUGUUAGCGGCGGACGUGUGAGUAACACGUGGAUAACCUACCUAUAAGACUGGGAUAACUUCGGGAAACCGGAGCUAAUACCGGAUAAUAUUUUGAACCGCAUGGUUCAAAAGUGAAAGACGGUCUUGCUGUCACUUAUAGCUGGAUCCGCGCUGCAUUAGCUAGUUUGUAAGGUAACGGCGUACCAAGGCAACGAUGCAUAGCCGACCUGAUAGGGUGAUGGGCCAAACUGGAACUGAGACACGGUCCAGACUACUACGGAGGGCAGCAGUAGGGAAUCUUCCAAAAUGGGCGAAAACCUGACGGGGCAACGCCGCGUGAGUGAUGAAGGUCUCCGGAUCGUAAAACUCUUCUAUUGGGGAAGAACGUAUGGGAAAAUAACUGUGCACAGCUUGACGGUACCUAAGCAGAAAGCAGAGGCUAACUACGUG